rnacentral:rRNA from 1 species
AGCAGCCGCGGUAAUUCCAGCUCCAGUAGCGUAUAUUAAAGCUGUUGCAGUUAAAAAGCUCGUAGUUGAAUUUCGGGAUUUGUCAGUUGGUCGGGCUUCACUGUCCGUACUGACUUGAUGGAUUCUUACCUUCUGAAUAACCAGCAUGCUAUUUAGUUAGUGCGUUGGGGAAGCAGAUCUAUUACCUUGAAAAAAUUAGAGUGCUUAAAGCGGGCUAGUGCUUGAAUAGAUUAGCAUGGAAUAAUAAAAUAGGACGGCAUGGUUCUAUUUUGUUGGUUUCUAGGAUCACCGUAAUGAUUAAUAGGGAUAGUUGGGGGCAUUAGUAUUCAAUUGUCAGAGGUGAAAUUCUUGGAUUUAUUGAAGACUAACUUCUGCGAAAGCAUUUGCCAAGGAUGUUUUCAUUAAUCAAGAACGAAAGUUAGGGGAUCGAAGACGAUCAGAUACCGUCGUAGUCUCAACCAUAAACUAUGCCGACUAGGAAUCGACGAAGUUAAUUUUAUAAUGACUCG